GAGGGAGAGGGAGGGAGAGAGGAAGCGUGCACCGAGGAGGCUUCGCAGCGGAGACCGGCUUCAGAAAUAGAAGAGUCGGCUUUUUAUUUCUAAAGCCCGGUAGGGUGAAGGAGCGGCCCGUUGGAUGAGCGCAGAGAGUUGCUGCUGAGAAAGGAAACGCGAAUCCUCACCUGUUUCAGUCCGACAGCCACAGCGCCGAUGUGUCCCACCGAGCCGCGCUGACACAAACCAGUCAGAUGUCUGCUGGGGACAAGGCCGGAAUCCAUUCACAGACAAGCCGGCAUAAAAGGAGGUUUGAGGCCCCCUCAUCGACACUAUGUUCUUCUCAUGAACCCUGGUGUUGUUUAUGCCACUUAAACACUCCCUCAAUGGUUCAACCAUGUGAUCACAUUUAGCCAUUUCAAGUGUUUAUGAACUUCACUGUGGAACUUUUAUAUUAUUUAUGCUUAUUUUGACGUCCCUGUGGGCAAAAGUGGUACUGCUCCCAGACCACACAUCCCUUUGGGAAACUUCUCCUUUUUUUUUUUUAAUGCAACAGGGUUGUUUUAUUUUGCCACAAUCUGAACAAGUUGACACCUUAGAUAAGCUUUAAAAAAACAUAUGGAAAUAGCUAAUCUUUUGGAUUAUGUUUAACUUUACUUUUUUUUUUUUACAAUGAAAGUGUUACUGUUAUCAUAAUCCCCACAGUAAAGUUAAAAAGUCUACCCCAGGUUGGGAAUAACUGGCCUAAAUGACUAAAAUAAAACUCAGCAAA